rnacentral:rRNA from 1 species
CCUACGGGUGGCAGCAGUAGGGAAUAUUGCUCAAUGGGGGAGACCCUGAAGCAACAACGCCGCGUGGAGGAUGAAGGUUUUCGGAUUGUAAACUCCUUUUGUUAGAGAAGAUAAUGACGGUAUCUAACGAAUAAGCACCGGCUAACUCCGUGCCAGCAGCCGCGGUAAUACGGAGGGUGCAAGCGUUACUCGGAAUCACUGGGCGUAAAGAGCGCGUAGACGGGUUAGUAAGUCAGAUGUGAAAUCCUAUGGCUUAACCAUAGAACUGCAUUUGAAACUGUUAUUCUAGAGUAUGGGAGAGGUAGGUGGAAUUCUUGGUGUAGGGGUAAAAUCCGUAGAGAUCAAGAAGAAUACUGAUUGCGAAGGCGGCCUGCUGGACGAUGACUGACGUUGAGGCUCGAAAGCGUGGGGAGCAAACAGGAUUAGAUACCCCAGUAGUC